rnacentral:lncRNA from 1 species
GCUGGGACUCCGGAGUUCUAAAGAACAGUUUUGAGUGAACUGACGUAGGACAAGAUGGAGGCGGUGCCAGGGGAUUGAGGAUGGCUGAGCCCACAUGUUCAAGGAGCAGGAACCAGAAGUGGCACAACAUGAUCACGUGGUCAGUCAGUGACAUGUGUGGGAGAGGGGCCCCGUGACCCUACCAGUUAACUCUCAGUUGACUCAAGAUAAAAUUUCCUGUUGACUAAAAGAUACAGGCUUUGUCUAAAUACUUAUUUUCUGCUGUCUAGAAAA